rnacentral:sRNA from 1 species
GCUGGCGCAGUGGUGUACGCCUGUAAUCCCAGUGUCUAGGGAGGCUGAGACAAGAGGAUCACAAGUUCAAAGCCAAUCUUAGCAACAGCGAGGCACUAAGCAACUUAGUUAGACCGUGUCUCUA